rnacentral:rRNA from 1 species
GACGAACGCUGGCGGCGUGCCUAACACAUGCAAGUCGGACGCAGUUGCGAACGGAUGAGUAACGAGUAGGUGAUUGCCUAUUAGAGGGGGAUAAAUAUUGGAAACGAUAGCUAAUACCGCAUACUAGUAGAUGGACCUGCGUUGUAUUAGCUUGUAGGUCGGGUAAUGGCUUACCUAGGAAACGCUACAUAGCCGACGUGAGAGGGUGAUUGGCCAACCUGGGACUUGGAAACGGACCAGGUUUCUACGGGAGGCAACAGGUGGGAAUCUUCGGAAAUUGGGGGAACCCUGACCGCUCAACGCCGCGUGAGUGAAGAAGGUUUUCGGAGCGUAAAGGUAUGUUGUUAAGGGAGCGGUACUUAACCAGAAAGGGGCGGCUAACUACGUGCCAGCAGCCGCGGUAAUAC